rnacentral:lncRNA from 1 species
CUUAGCAUUCAUCCAAUAGAUUCAUCUUUAUCUCAUCUUGCAUCCCAUAAAACCUUUGCCUCAAAACAGAGUUCGUUCCCAGCAUUCCGUGAAUCUCAACGUCAUCAGAUUCCUCUCCUCUGGAUCAACUUCAUCCCAACAACUCGAUCAGUUCUAUCGUUAUCCCGUAUCCAGCAUCAUCCAACUCCCCUGCUACGGAUCCCAUCUUCUCAACCGUGAGCUUCCUCCACGACCUCCUCUGCUUCGAAACAGAGCUCCAAUCUCCACGUCACCUCCGAAAUUCAGCUCCAACUUCUCCCGCGUCCGGAUCUCCCGCAGCAACAAAUUUC